GAUGAACGCUGGCGGCGUGCCUAAUACAUGCAAGUCGAGCGAACAGACGAGGAGCUUGCUCCUCUGACGUUAGCGGCGGACGGGUGAGUAACACGUGGAUAACCUACCUAUAAGACUGGGAUAACUUCGGGAAACCGGGGCUAAUACCGGAUAAUAUAUUGAACCGCAUGGUUCAAUAGCGAAAGACGGUUUUGCUGUCACUUAUAGAUGGAUCCGCGCCGCAUUAGCUAGUUGGUAAGGUAACGGCUUACCAAGGCAACGAUGCGUAGCCGACCUGAGAGGGUGAUCGGCCACACUGGAACUGAGACACGGUCCAGACUCCUACGGGAGGCAGCAGUAGGGAAUCUUCCGCAAUGGGCGAAAGCCUGACGGAGCAACGCCGCGUGAGUGAUGAAGGUCUUCGGAUCGUAAAACUCUGUUAUUAGGGAAGAACAAAUGUGUAAGUAACUAUGCACGUCUUGACGGUACCUAAUCAGAAAGCCACGGCUAACUACGUG
rnacentral:rRNA from 1 species